GGGAUCUUUCUUUCUCCUUUAAGUCGAUUGCUAUUCUUGUUAUGUUCUUUAUUUUUCCUUAAUUUUUGUUUCGAUUUUCUAAUCUCUUUGGUGUUUAUUUUUCUAGAUUUGGUUCAAUGCAUUCUUACUGCCCAAGAUUGGUUUCUUUUGCUUUAAGAAACCCAAGUUGAUCUUGGUCUCUUCUCUUCAACCAAACCCUAAUAUUUUAAUUUCCUUUGAUUUUCUCUUUUGUCUCAUUGUUUCUAAUUUGUUUCGAUUUCUUUGGUUGAAGUCCGUUUGAACAACUUUGUUUACCCUCAAGAACGCAUCCUUGGGCUUCAAGAAAGUAACCUACAAUUGGUUCUUGAGUUCUCUUUGCUGACCAAAUCUCCCUUCACUUCUUUUCCAUUCUUUUUCCUUGUUUUAUAAUUUGUUUAAAUCGAAUUUGUAUGCUGAUUCUUUAUUUCAAAUUUGCCAGCUUAUACUCUUCAAGUCCAGCCUAAGAACGUGUCUCCCCCUCAAGAUCCAAUUCUUUCAAUCUCUAAAUCAUUUGAGUCUUUAUUAUUUGUUCUUAGAAUU
rnacentral:lncRNA from 1 species